UAGGGAAUCUUCGGCAAUGGACGAAAGUCUGACCGAGCAACGCCGCGUGAGUGAAGAAGGUUUUCGGAUCGUAAAACUCUGUUGUUAGAGAAGAACAAGGGUGAGAGUAACUGUUCACCCCUUGACGGUAUCUAACCAGAAAGCCACGGCUAACUACGUGUCAG
rnacentral:rRNA from 1 species